AAAGGAGCAGAAGUUCGAUUUGGUUGAGUGGACACAGUGAUCUCCAACUUAGAAUUUUUUCUACCUCCAUAUUUGUUAAAACUCCAUCUCAUUUUCCAUAACUGUUUACAAGUACAGUGAAACCUCGCUAAGUCGGAACGCAUCGGGCCGACGGAAAUUUUCCGACUUAGCGGGGUUUCCGACUUAAAGGGAAUCCCUCUUUUUCCGAUUUAAAUUUUCGAAUUUCGCGCUCUAGUUUGGACAAAACGUUUUUAGAUGCUUUUCGCUUGCACGGGGGCGUCAGUUUAGAGUGUAAUGCAACUGUUAAGCUCAAUUCAGUCAAUUACUUGCGUUAAAUAUUAUUUGAAGAGUUAGCGCAAAAAUGUUGGAACUCGUUAACGUUACGCCCUUGGAUGAGCGAAAAUCCUUACGGACGAGCGCCGCCCAGAGAGUAUAGAAGGCGACUGGGGACAAGACCAAUCCACACAGGUCAGUCAUUGCGCAUCUUUUUGAAAGCCACUUCCCCGCCCGGCCCUAACUCGGCUGCACUCAAUAGUACGUCACACUGGGUGCUCCCAUAAGAAAUACAUUGCGUGCACUCAAUAGUACGUCACUGCGCAGUAGAGGACCAAAACUCGUCCACCGGAAUGACUGACCUGUGUGGAUUGGUCUUGACUGGGGAUAGGGAAGAAUUGAAACAGAAGUUGGAGCCGUGAGCAAGCAGUUGCGUACGUUGGCGCGAGAGUGCGCGGCGAGCGGAAUCCCAUACCGCUGCGCUGAUGGCUAAGCGAGAGUUGCGGACGGACGACGGACCUUCCAUACUCUCUGGCGCCGCCGACGAUAGAAGGGACACUGGUUGGUGUAUACACAAGAUAAGGAGCAAGCGUAGCGUGGCGCGGUCCGAGACGAGUGUCUCUGUCAGCAGUGAGUCGGUGGGGGGGAGAGAGCGGAGGUGUUAAGGAGGGAGGGAGUGUGGCAAGAUCGCUUCCUCGCUCUCUUCUCAGUUGCAGCCGUUCUGGCGGUGAGGAGCGCACGUCCAUUGGUAGCUAUCGAAGAAUUCUCGCUAAAUAAAAAAGGAAUUUUUUUUUUUUUUUCAUGAAAAAAUCGACCAUUUUACGAGUAGAAAAGGUUAUUUUUUGAGGUCGGGACUGAAAAAAAAUCCGAGAUAACGGGAAUCCGAGUUACGGGAAUCCGACUUAACCCGAAUUUCUUAGCAUUGUUUUAUAUGGGCGACGAACGGGACCGCACGAAAAUUCCGACAUGACGGGGUUUCCGACUUAAACGAUCUCCGACUUAGCGAGGUUUCACUGUAACAAUGAUUUCAUUCUAAUUGCAAUAACUCUGUAAGAAUUACAAAAACUCUAUUAGAGUUUGAUAUUCCAUAAGAAUGGGUCAGUUGUGCUGGUCAUAGCAUCUUGUUUU
rnacentral:lncRNA from 1 species